UACGGAGGGUGCAAGCGUUAUCCGGAUUCACUGGGUUUAAAGGGUGCGUAGGUGGGUAGGUAAGUCAGUGGUGAAAUCCCCGAGCUUAACUUGGGAACUGCCGUUGAUACUAUUUAUCUUGAAUAUCGGGUAGGUAAGCGGAAUAUGUCAUGUAGCGGUGAAAUGCUUAGAUAUGACAUAGAACACCAAUUGCGAAGGCAGCUUACUUCAAGAUUAUUGACACUGAGGCACGAAAGCGUGGGGAUCAAACAGG
rnacentral:rRNA from 1 species